UACGGAGGGGGCUAGCGUUGUUCGGAAUUACUGGGCGUAAAGCGCACGUAGGCGGCUUUGCAAGUUAGAGGUGAAAGCCCGGGGCUCAACCCCGGGUCGGCCGUGCGAACUGUCGAGCUGGAGCACUGUAGAGGCAGGUGGAAUUCCGGGUGUAGCGGUGGAAUGCGUAGAGAUCCGGAAGAACACCGGUGGCGAAGGCGGCCUGCUGGGCAGUGGCUGACGCUGAGGCGCGACAGCGUGGGGAGCAAACAGG
rnacentral:rRNA from 1 species